AGAGUUUGAUCAUGGCUCAGGAUGAACGCUAGCGGCAGGCUUAAUACAUGCAAGUCGAGGGGCAGCACAGGUAGCAAUACUGGGUGGCGACCGGCAAACGGGUGCGGAACACGUACGCAACCUUCCUUUAAGCGGAGAAUAGCCCAGGGAAACUUGGAUUAAUACUCCAUAAGAUUAUGGUGUGGCAUCACACAGUAAUUAAAGCUCCGGCACUUAAAGAUGGGCGUGCGGCUGAUUAGGUAGUUGGCGGGGUAACGGCCCACCAAGCCUACGAUCAGUAACUGGUGUGAGAGCACGACCAGUCACACGGGCACUGAGACACGGGCCCGACUCCUACGGGAGGCAGCAGUAAGGAAUAUUGGUCAAUGGACGCAAGUCUGAACCAGCCAUGCCGCGUGGAGGAUGAAGGCCCUCUGGGUUGUAAACUUCUUUUAUUUGGGAAGAAACCCAUCUUUUCUAAGGUGGUUGACGGUACCAGAUGAAUAAGCACCGGCUAACUCCGUGCCAGCAGCCGCGGUAAUACGGAGGGUGCAAGCGUUAUCCGGAUUCACUGGGUUUAAAGGGUGCGUAGGUGGGCAGGUAAGUCAGUGGUGAAAUCUCCGGGCUUAACCCGGAAACUGCCGUUGAUACUAUCUGUCUUGAAUGUAGUGGAGGUGAGCGGAAUAUGUCAUGUAGCGGUGAAAUGCUUAGAUAUGACAUAGAACACCUAUUGCGAAGGCAGCUCGCUACACUAUUAUUGACACUGAGGCACGAAAGCGUGGGGAUCAAACAGGAUUAGAUACCCCCGUAGUCC
rnacentral:rRNA from 1 species